rnacentral:misc_RNA from 1 species
AACGCACCUUGCACUCCUUGGUAUUCUGAGGAGUAUGCCUGUUUGAGUGUCAUGAAAUUCUCAACCUGUCAAGCAUGUUUUUACAAACUGUGACAGGCUUGGAUUAUGGGAGUUGCUGGAUUCUCUCUGAGGUCAGCUCUCUUUAAAUGCAUUAGCAGAUUCAUUGCUGGUUAUCUUUGGUAUGAUAAUUAUCUAUACCAUUGAAAAAAAUCAGCUUCCGACAUGGAAGAUUUUGCUUCUAAUUAGUCUACUAAGACAAUUCUUUGACAAUUUUGACCUCAAAUCAGGUAGGACUACCCGCUGAACUUAA